rnacentral:rRNA from 1 species
CACUCUAGAGAGACUGCCAGGGAUAACCUGGAGGAAGGUGGGGAUGACGUCAAAUCAUCAUGCCCCUUAUGCUUAGGGCUACACACGGGCUACAAUGGGUAGUACAGAGGGUUGCCAAGCCGUAAGGCGGAGCUAAUCCCUUAAAGCUACUCUCAGUUCGGAUUGUAGGCUGAAACUCGCCUACAUGAAGCUGGAGUUACUAGUAAUCGCAGAUC